rnacentral:rRNA from 1 species
UACGUAGGGUGCAAGCGUUAAUCGGAAUUACUGGGCGUAAAGCGUGCGCAGGCGGCUAUGCAAGACAGAUGUGAAAUCCCCGGGCUCAACCUGGGAACUGCAUUUGUGACUGCAUGGCUAGAGUACGGUAGAGGGGGAUGGAAUUCCGCGUGUAGCAGUGAAAUGCGUAGAUAUGCGGAGGAACACCGAUGGCGAAGGCAGCCCCCUGGGCCAACACUGACGCUCAGGCACGAAAGCGUGGGGAGCAAACAGG